CUGAAUUACAUAGGAACUUGUCCUGGGAAUUGCAUAUGUACUUGAGUAUAAAAGAACUUCCCCCUACCACAGAAGAAGGAAUCAGUCUGUUAAACCAGAUCCCAAGAAGGCUUCAGGGCGGGACACACAGGUGCACCCAGGUCUCUCCCCCACCCUUAUGGGGACUUGAUGUUGAGAUGAAACAUUUUAGAAGCAAUGUAGCUGCUGAGACUUUGUGAAGGGCAGGUUGACACCCGCCAAGAAUUUCAUAAAGAAUAUUAAUUAAUUGGCUCAGUUCUCCAGGAGAGAGGCUCCCAGGCCUGCGUGAUGCUAACAGGGUGUGACUUCAUAAGCAAACCUGUUCUACCAGCUCUAGAUAGACAGUAGAUUCUUUUAGUUUAAGACUUUCAUUCCUGACAAAA